GUCCACGCCGUAAACGAUGAAUGCUAGCCGUUGGUGGGUUUACUCAUCAGUGGCGCAGCUAACGCUUUAAGCAUUCCGCCUGGGGAGUACGGUCGCAAGAUUAAAACUCAAAGGAAUUGACGGGGGCCCCGCACAAGCGGUGGAGCAUGUGGUUUAAUUCGACGCAACGCGAAGAACCUUACCAGCUCUUGACAUGUCCAGGACCGGUUACAGAGAUGUAACUCUCCCUUCGGGGUCUGGAACACAGGUGCUGCAUGGCUGUCGU
rnacentral:rRNA from 1 species